UACGAAGGGGGCUAGCGUUGCUCGGAAUCACUGGGCGUAAAGCGCACGUAGGCGGAUCUUUAAGUCAGGGGUGAAAUCCUGGAGCUCAACUCCAGAACUGCCUUUGAUACUGAGGAUCUCGAGUCCGGGAGAGGUGAGUGGAACUGCGAGUGUAGAGGUGAAAUUCGUAGAUAUUCGCAAGAACACCAGUGGCGAAGGCGGCUCACUGGCCCGGUACUGACGCUGAGGUGCGAAAGCGUGGGGAGCAAACGGG
rnacentral:rRNA from 1 species